CAUCAUUCAUCUCCUAUCACUCAGCAGCAAGCAGAAGCUGCAAACGUAGAGAGCAAGCUGCCACCGAUCACCAGGGAAAUCACAAAAGUAACUUGGAAAGCAAACGUGGCUUCUUCUAGGAGAUAUCUCCAGGUGCAAGAUGGCUCAGUGAGACCAUGUCCUACUCUUGGCUCUGACUCAAUUAGAAGACUACUGGUAGCAGAUGAGAAUGAAACAUAAAUGAAGCAAAGAAUACAUUUCAACAUAAGUUCUGUAAAAUUCAUUCACCAGUCAUAAAAUUUUAUUUAUCACAAAUCUUUUCAUAAGCUUAUUCUCUUCAAUAUGGGAAAUUAUCGUUCAGCCAGGGAUAUGUAAAAUUGGCAUAGUAGAAAGACUAAUGGCUUUUCAAAGGUGUCCACAUCCUAACCUCUGGAAUUUGUGAGCAUGUUUUCUUACAGAGCACAAGGCACUUGGCAGAUGUGAUUAAGGCUACAGAAUUUGAGUG
rnacentral:lncRNA from 10 species